AAUUUUAAUUGCGAAAUUUUUAUUUUAAGAAAUAGUAUUUUAACCGUUUGAGUGCUGAAGAGUUUUCUUAUAUCUAUGCUAAUAGUGCGGAAUGAAAUGCGUACAACACAACUAACCAACUACUAACUACUACCAACCAACUACUAACCAACCUAUGCUAACCAACAGCAGCGUCUCCUCCUUUUUGACAAAUAACAAGCGAAGCGCAAUAGUGCUUCGCCGCACUCAAACGGUUAACAGAGAACAGGCUUAAAAUAAUAAGUUUGUCUAGGAUAAUUUGUUCUAGACAGACGUUCAGUUACAGUGGUUAAAUUCCAUGAAUCUAUGUACUUCAUCUUAAAGAAAAUUAUUAAAUUUUACUACCAGUUAAACUUGUUAUGCCAAUCAAACAGGCUUUAGUGCAUCUGUAGGGUUGAAGAAUUGGGCAUUGACUGCACAGGGAAAUUGAAUGCACAUUACUUCUUUGUGGUGGCUGGUUCCCCUGCCUGGUAUUGUUUGUUACGUUGGAGACGUCAAAUACCUGUUAAAGCCGUAUUUAUCAAAAGCUUGCCGUAAACAAACCCGGUUCGUGGGUCUACUAGCUUCCUGCGGGGACCAAAUAUUCCCGUUUAACAACUUUUUACAAUUAAAUCACCUGUGAAAAAUCUUUAAUUACGACAUUUAAAUUGGACAGAAAUUUAAUUUCAUAUUUGGUUUUUAAACUUGUAAUGAAAUGUUUUUAUAACGUUUAAAUACAAUUCCGUGUAGCGAAACUUGUGUUCCUUUGCUAUAAUUAUUCUAUAUUCCAUAACUGUUGUAACUAGAUUAAAAUAAAAGAACCAGCAUAAACAUAACUGUAGAAAAUUAAAUUUUUAUUACCUCCUUUUACUAUAAAUUUUUCACUUUUCGCAUUUGUCUCAAAUCUUCGAGUUGUUUAUGUAAAUAUAAAAAUAUUAAAAGAAAUUUUCCCUAAAUACUACUGUUUGUUUAAUGAGUAUCGAAGUUGCACGAAAUUGUUUAUAAUUAUCAUUCAAUGUUUUCUCGCUACUGUUUUUGUAAAAUCACACUGUUGAAACUUCAAACUAAAUCCUAUUCAAAGUUUCGAGAAAUUAAUAGAAACCCUCUCUCUCAGAAAUUGGUUUCCUGAAACAUUUCUUAAGACAAACUUUGAACAUUCAAGAUAUAUAAAAUUGAAAAAACUAUCGCAGUAAUAUUAAUCUCUCAAAGCCAUUUUACUACAUUUUUACGCCUACAAAUCCGUUUUAAUUAGUUAGAGCACUGUUACCUUUUAGGUCCGUAACAGAUGACAAUGCAGUGGGGUUCGCCCUAAUUUAACGAAUUUAUCGCCUUCAUUUAACGAAAGAAUUCAUCUUUGAUCUGCAUUUUUACCAAGUUUCUGAAAUAUGUAGAGUGCAUGAUUUUACUACAUUGCAUGAUAACGGAAGUUUCAAAAAUUUUUUUUUCGACUAGAGCAAUCUAAAUUUUCAUAGCUUUUUGUCUCUGAAUGAGAAUUAUCGUCAAUUGAAGUUAUAAGUACUUUGCGAACACCUGGGAUGCUCAAAUUUCAAUUAGAGCUGUGUGUCUUAAUAUUAAGCUGACCAGGGCCCUUUAAAUAAAAGCUAAUAAAAUUUCUAAAUGAGCAUUCGGAAACUUUGCUCCUUAAAUUUUCCAAAAAUUUAGAAAAUAUUUCUAUUUAAUAAUCUCUGCAAAUCUAAAUAAAGUAAUUAUAAUAAUUUCGGAGUGGGGAUUCGCAAUUAAAGUUCAGGGAACUCACGGGAGAUAUUAAGAGCGCCAGAUCUAGGUAUCUGCCGCAUUCUGUAUUUAAUAAAAAAAAUUUAAGGGAGUAUUUUGGGAUAACCAAACUAACGUUAACUCUGCGUCAUUUUUCACUAUUUAUCAUAACCAGAGCUUUGGCGCCUCAGAGGAUAAAGCGCUCUCUUCCUAAUGAGGUGACCCGAGUUUGGUCACAGUGAUAGCUGUCUGAUUCGAAUUCCGCACCCGGUUUGGUCCGACCCAGGACUGAUAUAACAUAUUCUCAGUGAUAGACGAAUCAUGGGUUAGAGUUCCCCUUACAUCAGGCUAACUGUCGAAGGUUUUCGUAAUUUUCCUUUCCAUGUAAAGCAAAUGGGGGCUAGCUCCUUCCUCCAAAAAACCCUCCAUGAAGGCAAAUUUCUCAUUAUGCUUGAUAGUUACCUUGUCUUCUGGAUUGGGUUCGAAAUUACAAGUCAACGGAGCUGAAAAUUCAUAGCCGUAAACAUUAUUAAAAGACUAUAAUACUUAUACCCAUUUAAAUUAGAAAUGACUUGCGUCCUUCUAUCAGUAAGUUUAUGAAAUUAGAUCUGUUAAAUGUAAAUCUUAAGAGCUAGCAAAUUUUCUUUCUUAAAGUUGGUUACUUUUCUGUGUUCUACGGUACAGUAAGAAAAUAUCCAUUGAUUAUGAUUGAAAAUUUAAUUUUCUGAAAUCUUGGUUUAGAAGCUAUGAAAUGUCUCCUUUAAAAAAAAAAAAACUUUAUGAAUAUGUGCUACUUCUGAAAUAAAUCCUAAAUGGAUAAUCCGCUUUAAAACCACUUUAUAUUACCGCUUUAAAACCACAAUAUAACAUUUUUGGUGUUUCACUAACUUUUUGUAAUACAACUGAAAAUAUUUUAAAAAGGUUGUAAAUAAUGUCUUUCAUGAGGUAUUUAACUCUAAAUUUUCUUCAAGUAAAUUGUACACAUGACCAAGUGAUGGAAUCAUUUGUACAGGUUUCUGAAAGAAAAGGUUAUUUCACAUAUGUGCAUGUUUCUCAAAGAAAAGGUUAUUUCACAUGUACGUGUUUCUCAAAGAAAAGGUUAUUUCUUAUUUGUACGUGUUUCUCAAAGAAAAUUUAACCCCUUAGCGUAGCAAAACUAUUCAGAUUAGCUUGCUUAAGCAGUUUGCUGCAGUUCAUUGCAUUAGUUAAGUGUUAUGCCUUUCUAGAAAUUAGAAUAAUUUCUGUGUUAUGAAUCUGUCCACACGUGUAAGUAGUCAUCAAUGAUAAAGUGACAAAACUAUCUUAAUAGCGUCAAUGGUGAAAUAGUUUUUUUCUGUACUUGAAGGUAUAUCGUAUCAAAACUCCGCGGUGAUUUGGAUUCGUUUAGGAAUGUUCAUUAAGUUAGCGUUUUCAUUAAGGAAUGUUUUCAUUAUGUAAUGUUGAACGUUUCAAGUUGAGCUAAAUUUACUUUCAUAAGUUAAUGUUAAGUAAUGUAAGGUUAAUUAAUUACAGCCUCGUAUGGCACAUCGAAUUUGUGGUAAUAUAAUUUCUUAGUUUUAUUAUUUAUGUACUUUGUAGUAAAACUUGAUAAAUUUUUGUUUUGUGAACCUGGCAACUUCGAUGCGUAAUUCAUGUUCUACGUGGCUUCGUGCCUGUCUUUGUGUUAAGAAAUAUAUCCGUAAAGAACUGAAGUCAUUUUGAUCUAAUCUUUGUGAAGGAUAAUAGAAUGUAUCACUUAAGUGAAUUUAUACUUGACAAGAUUGGCUUACUCUAAAUAGAAUGCAAAGAACAGUUGCUAACGUAAACAAGUGCCACGUUUUAAUAACCAAUCUGGUUCGAUAUACCCGCACUACGUCACUCAUCCUAUUCUGAAGUAGUCUGUUUUGAAAUCAUUACGAUAUAUGUAGAUUAAAAACUACUAAAGUUUAAAAAGUAAUUCCAUAACUUUUUCUAGGAAUUUUUCGUUUGACGUAUUUCGUUAGACGUUAUUUUUCGCAAUGUCAUUAAAACUAUCAAGACUAAUAUUGCAAAGAUAACUCAAUUUAAGCCCUCAAAAAUUCUCAACAUGCUGAAAAGUUUCUUGGUGUUUGUGGUUUUUACCGCCACCCGAUUCCUAAUUAUCCUAAACUCACCAAUGUGCUAAUUCAAGUAACCCUUAAAAACUCAAAAUUUCAGUGGAGAGAGAGGAGCAUCAGCAUGCCUUUAAUCAAUUACAAAAUAUAUUUCUCUCUGAGCCUUUUGUGCAUCUUCCCCAAUGGGAUAAGCAGUUCAUCCUUAAUACUGAUGCCAGUGGUUCUAUUUCAGGUGUUUUAAUGCAAGGAUUUAAUGGUCAACUAAAACCCAUGCUUUACUUUAGUAAAGGUUUAUCCCAAUCAGAACGUAAUUAUCCCCCCUUAAAAUUCGAACUUUAUGCUAUUUAUAGAUCAGUAAUGGCAUUUAAACACUAUUUGGCAUAUAAAAAGUUUAUAUGCCAACACCAUCCUCACUGAUUCCAAACCUUUGAUUCAUUAUAAAAAGGUAACGUCCCCUGCUGAUAAUAUAACUCGUUGGCUUCUACAGCUGUCAGAAUUCACAUAUGAAGUAAAAUAUAUAGCUGGUCCAACGAAUCAAUUAGCCGAUUACUUCAGUAGAAGUCAGAAAAUGAGUUAAUUUUACCUUUUGUCGAUGCUAAUGUUGAUGACCAAAUUGUAAAUUCUAUUCAAAACACUGACCCUCAAAAUGAAAUUUCUGUAACUACAUUCUUUAAUAAACAACAAACGGAUCCAAAUAUUUCAGAAAUUGUUGAUAUGAUUAACUCACCUUCAUUAAUUAAUGCUAAGAAAACUAAAAAUUUUAUUAUUGAUUCAGAUACUAGUUAUUAGUGCGUGUUUGCAAUGAUAAAAAUUUAUCUCAAUGUAUUGUGGUACCUCAAAGUUUACAAGCCAAGGUACUAAAGACUGCUCACAUUACUCAUCUUGGUCUGAAGAAAACCUGUGAACUUAUAACUAAUAAUUUUUUCAAGAAAAACAUGUAUACAGACACUAAAAAUUUUGUUCUUUCUUGUGAUGUAUGUCUACGUACCAAAAAUUAUGGUAUACCCCAGCCUACUUUUAAAUCUUUACCUAUUCCAAAGGUACCCAAUGAGUUUAUAUCAUUUGAUAUUGUUGGCCCCAUCAAAAACUGGAUAUGUAUUCACUAUUUUAGAUCACUUCUCUAAAAUUGUAAAAUUAUACCUGUCGAACAGCUUAACGGCUGAGGCUGUUUCUCAACAUUUAAUUGAUCAUAUUGCUAAUAAUGGUAGACCUUCUAUGGCUCACAGAAUGCUUCUCAAAAUUUUUCUCUCGAAGAUAUUUUCAUGUCAUUGUGACAUAGUUCGGGUUUCAGAGACAAAUGUGAGCACAGGUCUCUUUCAUUGCUUCUUUGUACUCAUUUUGAUCGCAUAAAACUUCUAAAUACAUUAAGACAACAAUAAGAAACAACGCGUCGUUUUAUUUCUAUUUGUUUCACGGGAAAAAAUCUUAUUAGUUACUCUGGCUCUAAAUAGUUGGCAGAUUGUGCCUAUAUCUUUGUGUUAAAUAAUAGAAGGGCUCAUUAAUAACUAAAUUAGCAGAAAGCUCGCAUUUAAUUUUUUAAUGUUAAGCACUAUGAACGUCUACAAGGAGAUUUUGGUCUUUCGUUGGAUAUUUACGAAAAGAAAAAUAUAUGUCAGGCAAAUAUGUCAUUGUAUAACAAAAACGUAUUAUGAAACGAAAAAUUCCAAUAGGCGGCACUGAACGUGACGGAAAUCCGAAUUGGUAGUGGUAGACGGCCGUUCUGCUAUCUCUUCGAACUUCACACUCGUCCAACCGUUUGGGAAUUUUUCGUUUUUCAGACUACGGUGCAGUAAGGGCAGGGGUGUCAUAAGAGCUGGGUGGACCUGGAUUGUGAUGGUAGAUCGCAUUUCCGUGACCUGAAGUCUCUGAAGUACCCUUGUGCUUACAGCGAAAUCUAACUGUUAAAUUAGCUACUAAGUUUUUCUCGCUCUCGUUAAAUUAACUUUUAAAAGGCUGAGGUGGUCAAGAGUAAGGUCCUGGACUGUAACAAAAGGUUGCAGGUCCGUGCCCUGAAAAGCCACCCAGCACUUUACUAGCAUUGUAGAGUACUGACGUUCAUAGUGCUCUGAAUUAUCUAAUUUCAUCUACGAUAUUUUCCAGAUAUAGAAAAACAUUACUUCUAAGUAAGAUUCGUUAAGGAAUAAAAUGGGACAAUUAUGAAAAUUUUCACGGGCGCCGUUUAAAGUUUGAGUUAAACUUUAAUUUCAUUUUUAGAUAAGCUUUUAAAGGCUUGAGCUCUGUCUCUACAAAUAACAAUUUUGAUACCAAAAUUUCAAUUUGAAAAUCUGGCUUAAUAUCAGAAUGAAAUACUUGCGAAGAAUGUUUGAAAAUUUUAUUAACCUGCUUUCACAUAGGGUUCAGAAAACCUGGCAAUGUUAAAAUUGCUUGACAAUAUAAUAGCUAUUUUUCGGAAUAGUUUUCAGAAGUCUCAUUGUACCAUUUAUAUACAUUACACUUAAACACCUAAAAUGAGCUGUACAUUCUGCAUAGAAUUUUCUGGAGACAUUUGCCGAUAGUCCUUAACAUUCAAAAUUUUGAUGCCGAUAUUGACUCGAAUAAGAAGCAGGCUGAAAUUAAGAUUGGUACAUUGUACCGAGGAUUUACAAGAAUCGAAUGCCCUGGCCAGAAGAGUAGAAUCUAAAUGAGCGAUUCUUAAAUAGUAGUCUACAAAGAACUGUAGAGCCAAAUUUUAUUAACUAUUCAAGGUGAUACUAAAGCUCUUAAUUUUCGCUGAAAAGUUAAAUUAUUUGAUUUAAUGAAAAAUUUUAGUUUGCAUAGAAUCGACAUAAAUAGUUCUCACUACUUUAACGGAGUUUUUAAAAAUACAUUUUGGUCAAAUAAAAGGGAUAAAAUUCUUGUUGGCAUAUAACAAAUUUAUAAAAUUUUACUUUUUGAUGUUAACCCAUAACCAUUAACCUAUAGCCAUUUAGUCAUCAAAAUCGUUCAG